rnacentral:rRNA from 1 species
UCCUACGGGAGGCAGCAGUAAGGAAUAUUGGUCAAUGGGCGCAAGCCUGAACCAGCCAUGCCGCGUGAAGGAUGACGGCCCUAUGGGUUGUAAACUUCUUUUGUACGGGAAAAAACCACAGGUCGUGAAUCUGUGCUGACGGUACCUACAGAAGAAGGUGCGGCCAACUACGUGCCAGCAGCCGCGGUGACACGUAGGCACCAAGCGUUGUCCGGAUUUAUUGGGCGUAAAGAGCUCGUAGGCGGUUUGGUAAGUCGGGUGUGAAAACUCUGGGCUCAACCCAGAGAGGCCACUCGAUACUGCUAUGACUUGAGUACGGUAGGGGAGUGGGGAAUUUCUAGUGUAGCGGUGAAAUGCGCAGAUAUUAGAAGGAACACCAGUGGCGAAGGCGCCACUCUGGGCCGUAACUGACGCUGAGGAGCGAAAGCAUGGGUAGCAAACAGGAUUAGAUACCCUGGUAGUCCAUGCCUUAAACGAUGAAUACUAGACGUUGGGGUUAAACUCAGUGUCGCAGCUAACGCAUUAAGUAUUCCACCUGGGGAGUACGAUCGCAAGGUUGAAACUCAAAGGAAUUGACGGGGGCCCGCACAAGCAGUGGAGCAUGUGGUUCAAUUCGAUGCAACGCGAAGAACCUUACCUAGGCUUGACAUGCUAGCUAAAGCGAAUGAAAGUUCGUGUCCCGCAAGGGGAGCUAGUAAUCGUAUAUCAGCAAUGAUACGAUCCAUAU